rnacentral:rRNA from 1 species
AUUGAACGCUGGCGGCAUGCCUUACACGUGCAAGUCGAACGGUAACGGGUCCUUCGGGAUGCCGACGAGUGGCGAACGGGUGAGUAAUAUAUCGGAACGUGCCCAGUAGUGGGGGAUAACUGCUCGAAAGAGCAGCUAAUACCGCAUACGACCUGACGGUGAAAGGGGGGGAUCGCAAGACCUCUCGCUAUUUGAGCGGCCGAUAUCAGAUUAGCUAGUUGGUGGGGUAAAGGCCUACCAAGGCAACGAUCUGUAGUUGGUCUGAGAGGACGACCAGCCACACUGGGACUGAGACACGGCCCAGACUCCUACGGGAGGCAGCAGUGGGGAAUUUUGGACAAUGGGCGCAAGCCUGAUCCAGCAAUGCCGCGUGCAGGAAGAAGGCCUUCGGGUUGUAAACUGCUUUUGUCAGGGAAGAAAUCUUCUGGGCUAAUACCCCGGGGGGAUGACGGUACCUGAAGAAUAAGCACCGGCUAACUACGUGCCAGCCGCCGCCGUAA